rnacentral:lncRNA from 1 species
UUCGGUCAUUUCUCAAAAGAGAUGCACUGGAUUGGCGCAGAUCAGACUCGGGGCAUUUUCCCUGCUUUCUCUCACUCCUUCCCUCCUCUGGGAACGUUUCUCCUGCCUCUGAAUUUGGGGCCUGGAUCUCCCAUGGCUGCGCCUAGCGGAGAGGAUAAACGUUUGCAGAGAGGUUGAGGUUAAGCAGUUGUGCGCGGCAACGCAGAGCGAAUAACCCAGAGUUCAUCCUGGUGUAGGCCGCCAGCGCUGGAUAUCUCGGAAGGCCAAGACAGUGCUUCUAUCAGUAGUUAAUGAGAUCUGAACUGCCUCCUCACCACCAAGCACCUCGGUCCCUGUUCAGAGCUCCGCAGAUAGUGGUCAUGCCACAGGAUGCUUCAAGAAAGCACAAAAGUAACAACUAUACUCAUCCGGAGUGGUAUACAGUUUUGGACCCUUGUCUGGAAAAAAUAUAUCAACUUGACAGUUGGAUUAGAUGAUCUUAGUGGUCAUUGCCAACCUUAAUGAUUCUAUGAUUCCAUGAAAAAUGGAGAAGCUGCAGUAGCAUCCUGAGGCAAACCAAGAUCAGCAUCCUGCAGCUCAGCUAAACAAAGGCAUCCACGCAAAAUACUCUUGCCAGCAGAGCAUGGCAGUGAUUUGGGAUGAAAUGACUCCGGCAGCGGGUAGCCCAGCAGCUCUGGCAGCACCAGCUUGUUUGUGCUACUGAUGACAGCUGCAUGGAAGAACUGGGAAAAUUUUUCACUUUGCAUGUUUCCUACUCUAGUUGCCCUUUUCAGGAGCACGGCCCAACUGGAAUGGCCUGAGGCCUUCUCUCACCCCUCCCUGAAAACAGGAAGGCAGCUGGUAUACUCCACAUUAUGUACCAAUGGCUUGUAAAAAUUAAUGUUAUCCAGCUGCCCAUGAACAGGACGACUUUCUAGAGCUAUAGUCACACUCUGGGAGGGCUGUGUUUGCCCAGUGCCUAUGUAAUGAUAGGAAGAUGGGCUGAGUUUCAGGACUCUGCUCCUGCUCGUGGGUCCCAUGCCUGGGGACCACUUGUCAUGCAAGCAUUCCCAGACAGAUCAGGGAACAGCGUCAGGCUUUCUUAGAUUACUCACAUGAACCAAACAAGCGGGAUUUGGCCUGAAUACAGGAAUCAUUCAGUUACCCACUGCAAAAAUAUAGUGAAUAAUUGAAGAUGAAAGGCAGCUAUAAACAAGCAGCAGACCGGAAUAUUAUGCUAUUCGACAACACUGGGAUUGAGCAGCACAUGGAAAAGGAAAUUCCUAUCCAUAUGAAAUGGCAGGAGAAAGUUUGAUAAACAGGAUGUCAUUAUCAAAUUAUGAGCCAGAUAAAGUGUCAUCUGCCACACAGAUGAGAGUGAAUGUUGUCACCUAUAGAAGUCAGGGGCAGGCACCUCUGGAGACGGAGGUGGGGCUGUGAGCCAGGGAAGAAGGGAAAGGGAAAAGAGCUGUGAAUAAUCUGGUUUGCUUCUCCUGC